GGUGAACGCUGGCGGCGUGCCUAAUACAUGCAAGUCGAGCGAACGGACGAGAAGCUUGCUUCUCUGAUGUUAGCGGCGGACGGGUGAGUAACACGUGGAUAACCUACCUAUAAGACUGGGAUAACUUCGGGAAACCGGAGCUAAUACCGGAUAAUAUUUUGAACCGCAUGGUUCAAAAGUGAAAGACGGUCUUGCUGUCACUUAUAGAUGGAUCCGCGCUGCAUUAGCUAGUUGGUAAGGUAACGGCUUACCAAGGCAACGAUGCAUAGCCGACCUGAGAGGGUGAUCAGCCACACUGGAACUGAGACACGGUCCAGACUCCUACGGGAGGCAGCAGUAGGGAAUCUUCCGCAAUGGGCGAAAGCCUGACGGAGCAACGCCGCGUGAGUGAUGAAGGUCUUCGGAUCGUAAAACUCUGUUAUUAGGGAAGAACAUAUGUGUAAGUAACUGUGCACAUCUUGACGGUACCUAAUCAGAAAGCCACGGCUAACUACGUG
rnacentral:rRNA from 1 species